rfam:Brachypodium distachyon strain Bd21 chromosome 3, whole genome shotgun sequence.
UUAGUACUCCCUCCGUUACAUAAUUCUUGUCUCAAAUUUGUCCAAAAAUGGAUGUAUUUAUUUCUAAAAGGUGUCUAGAUACAUGUAAAAUUUCGACAAGAAUUAUGGAACGGAGGUAGUACAAA